GGACUCUAUGUAAACUGGAAACCACAUAUCCUGAGGCUGCAUUUGUUGUAGCUGGGGAUUUUAACAAGGCUAAUCUGAAAACAAGGCUCCCUACAUUUUAUCAGCAUAUCGAAUGCGUGACCCGAGCUGGGAAAAUUCUGGAUCAUUGUUACUCUAACUUCCGCGACGCAUACAAAGCCAUCCCUCGCCCUCCUUCCGGCAAAUCUGACCAUGACUCCAUUUUGUUGCUCCCAGUCUAUAGACAGAAACUAAAACAGGAAACGCCCGUGCUCAGGUCUGUUCAACGCUGGUCCGACCAAUCUGAUUCCACGCUUCAAGAUGACUUUGAUCACGUGGACUGAGAUAUGUUCCGGAUAGUGUCAAACAACAACAUUGAUGUAUACGCUGAUUCGAUGAGCGAGUUUAUUAGAAAGUGCAUCGGUGAUGUUGUACCAACAGCGACUAUUAAAACCUUCCCCAACCAAAAACCGUGGAUUAAUGGCAGCAUUCGUGCAAAACUGAAAGCGCGAACCACUGCUUUUAAUAAGGGCAAGGCGACUGGAAACAUGACCAAAUACAAACAGUGUACCUAUACUCUCCGCAAGGCAAUCAAACAAGCCCUAGCGUCAGUAUAGAGACAAAGUAGAGUCGCAAUUCAAUGGCUCAGACACGAGAGGAAUGUGGCAGGUUCUACAGUCAAUCACGUACUACAAAAAGAAAACCAUCCCCGUCGCGGACCCAGAUGUCUUGCUCCCAGACAAACUAAACAACUUCUUAGCUCACUUUGAGGACAAUACAGUGCCACUGACAUGGCCAGCUACCAAAACCUGCGGACUCUCCUUCACCGCACCCAACGUGAGUAAAACAAUUAAACGUGUUAACCCUCCCAAGGCUGCUGGCCCAGACAGCAUCCCUAGCCGCGUCCUCGGAGCAUGCGCAGACCAGCUGGCUGGUGUGUUUACGGACAUAUUCAAUCAAUCCCUAUCCCAGUCUGCUGUUCCUACAUGCUUCAAGAGGGCCACCAUUGUUCCUGUUCCCAAGACAGCUAAGGAUGGCAGGUUGAUUUCUGGGGGCCAGUUGAUGUACGUGGAUGGACACAAUCUGGCAGGAUUCUCACAAGAAAGGUUGCCAAGCAGGGGGCAGCAUACCAUGGUCUGGCUGACCUGCUUGAUGAACCACCUUCAGUAACAACUAGAUACAAGUAGAGGAACUUCAGUAGCAACUAUAGGUACAAGCAGAACAAGAAUAAAAGGCAACAUUUCUAUUGCAUUAGCUUUUUCCCCCCUGAACAGUCCCUCAACAAAGGUGUAAUGAUCUAAGAUCAAAGACAAUUUGUAUUUUCGAUUCAGCUAAUUGCAUUUCAUGGACUCCCAUCAAUCAGUAGUCGUUUUCCACAAUGAAAAACGGUAGAGACCUUAUAGACCUUAUAGCUGGUGACAUUCUCAUGGAUCUCUACGGGUUCCGAGAUGAUCUAGAUCUAACCAACUGGUUUAUGAUUCCCUCAGCAUUGGAUGGUAGUGGCCCUGCUAAGCCCAACGGUAAGACCCUGAUCCUGUAUGAGGGUAUGGUGCAGAGCCCUGGUCCUUCAGGACUAUGGGGUAAUAACCUUCACCAUGGAGGGAACAGAACACAGAGAGAACAGGCCCUGCUGAAGAACAGACAGCUGAAAUGUUCCAGCCCCAACAUGAUUAGUGAGUCUACCAAUAGUGUUGCUCUUGAAAAUCGACUAACAAUUCAUUUAAUGGGAUAAUUGCAGUCUUCUCAUGGGUCGCAUGUGAGGUAAAUAUAAUACGCAGUCUGUAUAUCUGUAUUGAUAACCUACAAUUGAUCUUCUCAAUAACAUUUGUGGGUUAUUGAUUGGUUGUAAUGCAGAGUCCAGCAGGACAUCAGAGGUGAUGCAGCCCCUGAGAAUCUCACAUUCAAGGAGCACCAACGUCUCUUAUCCCUCGGAUCAAGUAGUAUUUUACUGGGUGACUUUUACUUCAGUCAUGUUAUAUUAAGGUAUCUUUACAGCUGGAUACUUUGUUUACCUGGAAUGUUUCCUUAUUGUAGGCUACUACCACUUUAAGUCUUAAUCUUUACUACACUGUUCAGCACAUGACCUCACAUGUGAAUCCAUAAAGAGAUGUGUGGGGGCUGGCUUAAGAGGGUGUGAACAAUGCUGAACGUGUAUAGACAAAGUAGAGCUCUCCAGUAGGUUUACCAAAACAUUCAAAGGCCAUUUUCUCAAAAGUGAGUUUACAAGUGUAUCAACUUCCAAAGUAGAAUUACUUUCCCAUUGUUCCUCAAAAAUGCAGUGUAU